CAGUAGGGAAUCUUCCGCAAUGGACGAAAGUCUGACGGAGCAACGCCGCGUGAGUGAUGAAGGGUUUCGGCUCGUAAAACUCUGUUGUUAAGGAAGAAUACUUGAGGUAGUAACUGGCCUUGAGAUGACGGUACUUAACCAGAAAGCCACGGCUAACUACGUGCCAGCAGCCGCGGUAAUACGUAGGUGGCAAGCGUUAUCCGGAAUUAUUGGGCGUAAAGCGCGCGUAGGCGGUAAAAUAAGUCUGAUGUGAAAGCCCCCGGCUCAACCGGGGAGGGUCAUUGGAAACUGUUUUACUUGAGUACAGAAGAGGAGAGUGGAAUUCCAUGUGUAGCGGUGAAAUGCGCAGAGAUAUGGAGGAACACCAGUGGCGAAGGCGGCUCUCUGGUCUGUUACUGACGCUGAGGUGCGAAAGCGUGGGGAUCAAACAGGAUUAGAUACCCUGGUAGUCCACGCCGUAAACGAUGAGUGCUAAGUGUUGGGGGGUUUCCGCCCCUCAGUGCUGCAGCUAACGCAUUAAGCACUCCGCCUGGGGAGUACGACCGCAAGGUUGAAACUCAAAGGAAUUGACGG
rnacentral:rRNA from 1 species